CCAAACUAUAAAUAGCAUAAUAAUAGCCAAAAAAUAGCAAAUUAUCCAAAUUCUUCGCCCAGCCACAAAAAUUUCCCCCUUUCCUUCUUCAUCUUCGGUUUUAUUCUUGAUUUUAUUUCAUAUCAUCAUUUUUUUCGAGGGAAAAAGAAUUGCGUUCCUCCGCCAUCGGAUCGAUGGUUCUCGAUCGAAAUCAGGGGUAGAGGAGCGCUGAGAAUCAUAAACCCUCGCCCUAAUUUCGAUUCGAGACCAGAAAUCUCAUCUCCAGUCUCGUCGGAUAUCGAGACGCCACCACCUUCGAUCGCAAUAAGUAAUUCAUCUUCAGCAUAUUGGAUUCAGAGCCAGUGUUUCCUCAGUUUGGGCUUUCACUUUUUUGCUAAGGACAUGGUCUAUUCUUAACAUUGCAAUCAGUGCUUAUAUUAAGCAUAAAAGAUGGAAGUAAAGAAAGUCAUGAGGCGCCAGUUAUCCACUGGUUCCAUCAAGCGGAGCGGAUCACGCUGCUUCAACCGCCAGUUAUCAUUCGAUCCAAGAUUCACUAAGGCCCUUCGAUUCUCUUUUGGACGCCAAUCAUCUCUUGACCCAACCCGGCGAAAGCUCCUGAAAGGCGAGAUAAAGGAGGAGCUGACUGUGCCGGAGAAUCUUGAUUCCACUAUGCAGCUGCUCUUUUUGGCUAGCAAAGGGGAUGUAGAUGGUGUGGAGGAGCUCUUGAAGGAGGGCGUUGAUGUAAAUAGUAUUGAUCUUGAUGGGAGGACUGCUCUCCACAUAGCCUCUUGCGAGGGGAGCCUUGAUGUCGUCAAGUUGUUGCUAUCCUGGAAGGUCAAUAUUGAUGCCAGGGAUCGGUGGGGAAGCACGGCUGCUGCAGAUGCUAAGUUUUAUGGCAAUUGCGAAGUCUACAGUGUACUGAGAGCUCAAGGAGCUACAGUUCCUAAAACCAGGAAAACCCCUAUGACUGUUUCAAAUCCUCGAGAAGUUCCAGAAUAUGAGCUGAAACCAGGAGAGCUUCAGUUUCGCCGUGGUGAUGAAGUUGCAGUGGGCACAUACCAAGUAGCUAAAUGGAAUGGAACGAAAGUCUCAGUGAAAAUACUUGGCAAGGAAAGCUAUUCAGAUCCAGAUAGCGUAAAUUCUUUCAAGAAUGAGUUGACUCUACUAGAAAAGGCGCGACAUCCCAAUGUCGUGCAGUUUGUAGGAGCUGUUACCCAAAAUAUACCGAUGAUGAUUGUUUCAGAGUAUUCUAUGAAUGGCGAUCUUGGGAACUAUUUACAAAAGAAAGGACGUUUGAAGCCACAUAAAGCUCUUAGAUUUGCACUGGAUAUUGCCAGAGGAGUAAAUUACCUCCACCAGUGUAAACCUGACCCGAUAAUUCUUUGUGAUCUAAAGCCAAAAAAUAUAUUGCUGGAUAAUAGUGGCCAGUUGAAGGUAGCAGGCUUUGGUUUGAUCAAGCUGUCAAAAUUAUCCCAUGAUAAAGCAAAGUUAGCACAUCACGCAAGCCAAAUUAACACUUUGGGUUCAUACAUAGCACCUGAAGUUUACAGAGGUGAAAUAUUUGACAGAAGAGUUGAUUCAUUCUCAUUUGGUCUUAUUCUUUAUGAGAUGAAUGAAGGUGCAGCACCCUUUCACUUGAAGGGCCCAGAAGCGGCUCUGAAAAUGAUUUGCUUGGAGAAAAUGAGGCCUCCAUUGAAGUACAAAUCCAAAAAUUAUCCUGUUGAACUUAAGGAGUUGAUUGAAGAGUGCUGGGACCCAGAUCCUGUAGUCAGACCAACAUUUACAGAGAUAAUUAUCCGACUGGAGAAAUUAUACGCCACUUGUGCAAAACAUGGGCGGUGGAAGGAUAACUUUAAGAUUCGUUGGAAAUGAUGGAAGCAUUUCAAUUGUUUGCUUUUGAAUGUUCCUCUGUAUGUAAGAGAGAUACCUCUCAACUAUAACAAAGCUUAUAAUACAAAGUUAUCCUUGGGCUGAACACCUAUAGUUUCAAAUAGAUCCUGCGAUUUCCCCAGGAGAGUAUAUACUUUUGCAUCGAGGGAUCACUUGCAGGUGGAUAUUUUGGCAGAACACUCCCCCGCGCCAAUCAAUUGCAUGCCAAGGGAUCCAUUUGACUGGUUCAAGAGCUCAACCUUGUCAAGAAAAUGGCAACCCACUGGAUUGGCGUCUGGUUGUCCAGUGUCUACGCCUGGAAGGAUCACAAGUAUGCUGGGUUGUCUAGCUUAAUUUCAUUUUUGUUUUGGACUAGUAUUUAUAUUGUAGUGAAACAUGCAUUCAUUUGCAAAUUAAUCGAGACAUAAUAUAACAUGUUUGGUGACGAUGUUUAUCUUUUAUGGAUCAAAUUACUUUUCGA